AUGUACUUUGUAGUACUCGUAAUCACAAGGUACAGUCAGUUAUCCAACUUUUGCAAAAUAUGUAUGUUCUCUCAACCCUGUGGAAAUAAGUGUGCGCUUUUUAGUGCUAGGAAAAGUAGAAGAAAUGAGGCUCCAUGGGAAGCUGCAAGUAGUCCUCGAGCUGUGACAAGGAGUCAAACUGCAUUAUCUCCUGGGCCAGUUACAAGCAGCCAAACUGGAAUGUCCCUUGCGGAAACUCCAUCCAAAUCUCCUGCAAAUUCAAUAAAGAAUCCUCCCAAAAAGCUCACACUGAAGAGGAGGAAGCUCGAUCUGUGA
rnacentral:rRNA from 1 species